GUCCCGGCUUGCACUUCGGCGUUCCCACGCCUCCUCAGCCGGGCUCUCGCCUUUCACGUCAGGGCCCGACCUCGGAGAUGGCGGCUCAGAAGAUAAAUGAAGGGCUGGAGCACCUCGCCAAAGCAGAGAAAUACCUGAAAACUGGUUUUUUAAAAUGGAAACCAGAUUAUGACAGUGCUGCUUCUGAAUAUGGAAAAGCAGCUGUUGCUUUUAAAAAUGCCAAACAAUUUGAGCAAGCAAAAGAUGCCUGCCUGAGAGAAGCUGUUGCCCAUGAGAAUAAUAGGGCUCUUUUUCAUGCUGCCAAAGCUUAUGAGCAAGCUGGCAUGAUGUUAAAGGAGAUGCAGAAACUGCCUGAGGCUGUUCAGCUGAUUGAGAAAGCCAGCAUGAUGUACCUAGAAAAUGGCACCCCGGACACAGCAGCCAUGGCAUUGGAGCGAGCUGGAAAGCUUAUCGAAAAUGUAGAUCCAGAAAAGGCUGUACAAUUAUAUCAACAGACAGCUAAUGUGUUUGAAAAUGAGGAACGCUUACGACAGGCAGUUGAAUUACUAGGAAAAGCUUCCAGGCUGCUGGUACGAGGCCGCAGGUUUGAUGAGGCAGCACUUUCUAUUCAGAAAGAAAAAAAUAUUUAUAAGGAGAUUGAAAAUUACCCGACUUGUUAUAAGAAAACAAUUGCUCAAGUCUUAGUUCACCUCCACAGAAACGACUACGUGGCUGCAGAGAGGUGUGUCAGGGAGAGCUACAGCAUUCCAGGGUUCAGUGGGAGUGAAGACUGUGCUGCCCUGGAACAGCUUCUUGAAGGCUAUGACCAACAAGACCAAGACCAAGUAUCUGAUGUCUGCAACUCGCCACUUUUCAAGUACAUGGACAAUGAUUAUGCUAAGCUGGGCCUGAGUUUGGUGGUUCCCGGAGGGGGAAUCAAGAAGAAACCUGCGGCACCACAGGCUAAAUCUGAAGGUGCCACCGCCCCCACCGCUGAGGAAGACGAAGAUGAGUAUGCAGGAGGCCUGUGCUAGGAUCUUGCUGUGCUGCAGAAAGGAAGAACAAAAUCCUGACAUGCCAUUCAUGGACUUGGACCUUGUCUGAGGGGAUCCAGAUUUCAUUGCAGUCAUAGCUUUGAAAAUGCUAAUAGAUUCAUGUUUAGUCAUCAUUUCCCUAAGUCACCCAUCAUACCCACUACCUGAAAACACUUUUUUUCUUUCCAUAACAGCCUUUCUAAGACACCAUCAGGAAUUAAUAGAAAAAAUGUACUGACACAUUUUAACACAGUUGAUUUUUAAAUUUGCAAGCUACAAACUGUGUUCCAAACAAAAGGGACAAUAGGCAUAGAAAUUCUUUUCUGUUGGGCUUUUGUGAUUUAUUGUUAGAGAAUUCCCCUUUCGUUUUAUUUAAUAAUUGCUGCUAAAAGUGAAGUUUACUGAGUUAAAGUAGUAUUUCAAACUUUUGAAAAUGAAGUUUAUCCCCAGUGAUAUUAGAUACAUUUAAAUUAUUAAAUCUUCAAAUCUUUUCAGAGGCACGAUUGGGUCAGGAUGCUAUUUUGAGCCUUACAAUACUGUUUAGCCCAAUAAAAGAUAGGUUUAAAGUCUUAUGUGUACAUUGAAAGUUUUUACAGUAUAUUCAACUCCUUUAUGAAAUACAUUUUUGUACCUAAAUAAACACACCAGUGACUGUCCCCAAAUCCAUUUGGUUCUUGACUAAAUGGAAACUAAUGAUUGUUUUUAUGCAUUCUAAGAGGGGAUGUUCCCAUCAAACCUAGAAUAUAGACAUUUUUUUCCCUCCAAAAUAAUUUCUGAUUCAUUUAGAGUUGCAGCAGGACAGUAACUGGACAUGGAAAAUGCUGUGUACUUAACAUUUAGCUGAAAGGGAAGAAUUGUUUCUGAAGUACUUCUUUUUAGAGGACUGUGCUGCCAAUAUUUUAGUCCUUGUAGGUACUCCUGAAAGGUUAUUUUUGAAGCAUUCCUUGUCCACCUGUGUGGUUUGGCCCUAUCUCCAAAUCUGUUAAUUGAAGAGAGGUGCCAGUCAGCAGCAGCAUGCAUUCUGUAGGCACUUGCCACCCAGAGUGGUUUCCUGCUCUGGGAAACCAUAGAACAAAGAACAAAAUCCUGACAUGCCAUUCACGGACUUAGACCUUGUCUGAGGGUAUCAAGAUUUUCUUGCAGUCAUGGUUUUGAAAAUGCUAAUAGAGAUUCAUGAAGCCAUGAAUCUCCAUGAGCCAGCCUUAUAUGAGUCCAUUGUGUGUAGUUUGCUGCUCCUGGGGACACCAAGGCUCAUUAUGAUGAAUGGUUUUAGCCAUAGUUGUUUCCAAGGAAGGGGAGGGCUUAGCUGGUUGGCAGGGGCACUUGUGUGGCAGGUGCACUUAAAUGGGUGGUGGGAGGGUAGAAAUCUUUAUUGAAGAUCUGAUUUAAAACUCUAGCAAAUUUAAUGUUUUGAUUCCUCAAGUUACCUGCAUAGUUCUGCAGGUAGCAGCUCAUUUUCAAUAAUUGUAUGGAGGUUAACUUGGGACAGCCUCAGUGAGGCUGCAUUUAGAGACAUUUGUACUGGAUGGUGGCACACUAAUACUUCCAAGAUCCUGCCAUUGCUGCUGUGCCCUUUAGAUCCAUUCGGAAACUUCAGGAAUCUUGUGUUAAUGGUCAUGUGAGUUAAACAGCCAUCUGUCUAAACAGAUUUGGCAGCACUUAAAAGGUAUUUUAGACCAUUUGUUUACAGACUAUAUUACUCAUUGCAGCCUUGGAAAAGUUCUUAACUUUUACAUAUUAAAAAUGAGGAGUGCUUGAUUCAGUGCAUUCUGUUUUAGCGGGGUAGCUGACCCUUAACAACAUAAAAGGCUCUAUUUUAAGUGCAGCCUCUUCCCCCCUCCCUGCCCACAUUUAGGAACUAACGUGUAGGACUUGGGGGUAUUUCUUUGAUGUCAGGGUUGAUGUGUGGUGUCCGGGAAAGAGCCCUUGUUUCAUCUUCAUGCAUUUUAUUUUUCCACGUACAGAAGUCUUUAUCCUGAGAGUGUGGUCAAAAGCAGGAAACGUGUUUACAACAGGAAAAACAUUUCCAGAACUCAUGUCAUCCCUUUUACCAAAGUGGAAGUCUGCAUGAAAAUGCUCAGAAUUGAAUACUCAGUGUUAUUAUAUUGUAAGUGAAGUCAAUCUAGAAAUAUAUUUAAUAUAUUGAAUUUAUUUGUACAUAUGCAGAAUAUUAUGGUAUUUGUGUAUGGAAUCUGUGCUUCUUAUUUUUUUUCCAGUUCUUUGAUGAGUAAAUAUUAAAUGUAUUGUUAUGGAAAUAUAGAUUAUUGCUUCUAUGGGAAGAUAAUUAUGAAAAUAAAAUCUGAAACUGUGAAAAAACUGACCUU